UACGUAGGGUCCGAGCGUUGUCCGGAUUCAUUGGGCGUAAAGAGCUCGUAGGCGGUUCGGUAAGUCAGAUGUGAAAACUCAGGGCUCGACCCGGAGACGCCAUCUGAUACUGCUGUGACUGGAGUCUGGUAGGGGAACACGGAAUUCCUGGUGUAGCGGUGAAAUGCGCAGAUAUCAGGAGGAACACCGAUGGCGAAGGCAGUGUUCUGGGCCAGUACUGACGCUGAGGAGCGAAAGCGUGGGGAGCAAACAGG
rnacentral:rRNA from 1 species